GUGGGGUCGUAGCUCAGCGGUAGAGCGCUUGCCUACCAUAUGUGAGGCAUCGUGUUCAGCAGGCACCGGGUUCAAUUCUCAGUGCCACA
rnacentral:tRNA from 1 species